CGGGACGCGGCUCCGAGCCUCCGGCUGAUGGAGAUGUGCUCGGUCCUCCCAGGAGUGGCAGAGGUUGGGUAUGAUUGUCCAUCGGGGCCGGAAGCCAGUGUCAUCACUGUGACGGCGUUGCCAGCACUUGGAGAGGCUGAGGCGGGAUCCCAAGUUCAAGGCCAGCCUGGGCAACUUUGCAAGACCCUCAGAAUACCAGAACAACAAAGACCAGGGCUGUAGCACACCUCGAAGGAUUAAAAGGCACUGGUUCACGGUGUCAGUGCUGAGUUUAUGGCUCAAGAGAAAGGUGUUCCUGCUUGGCCCCUGCAUCCAGCCGGCAGCUCAGGGCUUCUUCCUCCUUGUGGCUGUUGCCAGGCCUCUCCCAGCUGCGUGGCCCUGGGCCCGUCUCCUCUCUGUACUUGGAGCGGUGGACCUGACCUCCCGACCUCCCUCCUUUCCUUUCCUCUAUUUUUUGGCAGUAUUGGGGAUUGAACCCAGGACCUUGGCACUGAGCUACAUCCCCAGCCCUUCCUUUUUAUUCAUUCUGGGUCUUCCUAAGUCACUGAGUUGCCCAGACUGGGGGCUCUGAUUCGUGACCUUCCUGCCUCAGUCUCUUGGGGUGCUGGGAUUCCAGGUGUGCACCAUCAUGCCUGGCUGCUCAAGCUCUCGCCGUGGCCACCCAGUGAGGCCUCUUGCAGGGAGGUGGGAGGAAAAGAGGGGGCCUCUGAGGCCUUCUUGUCACCCUCCUGAAGCUGAAAGGUGCUGGCGAGAAACUGAAGAUUGACCAUGAGAAAGAAGGUGGAGAAACAGCUGCUGCCCGAGAGGCACAAGUAGCAGGCGGUCUGCAGGAUCCGGCCUUCCCAGGAGGUGUGUGUCUUCCUAGAGGUGUGUGUUGGGGUGGUGGGAGCAGUGGAACGACCUGACCUCCAAGGACGGCUGGGGAGACUGAGGCCUCGGGGUGUGCUUGCUCUAGGACUCGCCCCAGCCCUGGGAUCCACGGCCUCCGCCCCACCUGUCCUCGUCUCUCUCCCCGCCCAUGCUCCUGGGUUGCUCCCCCCAGCUCCCUGUGGCCUGACCCUGCCCACUUGAUAUGGCCUCCUCUUGUGCUCACAGGCUGUGGUCCCAGGAGGUGAGCAGGCCAAGUGCCGGGUGGCCCUGUCACAGGGGGUGCAGGGCAGCAGAGGAACAGAGGGGACAAUGGGACAAUGAGCCUGAGCCUCUGUCCCCUGCACAGGCCUGGCACCCCUGGGAUGUAACUGGCAAGAUGCCCCCUCUCCAUCCCCGGCGGCCCUGGCCCCUGGUGGUCAUGCAGUAUGGCCAAGGGCUGUUUCACUCCUGUCGCACUUCGGGCUGUGUCCCCCAUCUUGUUCCGGGUCCUUGGUCUGGCGUCACCUGCUGGGCCCUCUUCCCU
rnacentral:lncRNA from 1 species